UACGUAGGGCGCAAGCGUUGUCCGGAAUUAUUGGGCGUAAAGGGUUCGUAGGCGGUGCGGCAAGUUGGGAGUGAAAUCUCUGGGCUUAACCCAGAGGCUGCUUCCAAAACUGCUGUGCUUGAGUGUGGGAGAGGCGCGUGGAAUUGCAGGUGUAGCGGUGAAAUGCGUAGAUAUCUGCAGGAACACCCGUGGCGAAAGCGGCGCGCUGGACCACUACUGACGCUGAGGAACGAAAGCUAGGGGAGCAAACAGG
rnacentral:rRNA from 1 species